rnacentral:lncRNA from 1 species
CAGCCUCCUUAUUAUUAUCACUCUCCACCUCCUCCAACACCAGUUGUUAAGCCACCAUACUACUACCAAUCUCCACCUCCUCCAUCUCCAAAACCUAAGCCUCCAUACUACUACCAAUCUCCUCCUCCUCCAUCACCAAAACCUAAACCUCCUUACUACUACCAAUCUCCACCUCCUCCAUCACCAAAACCUCAGCCUCCAUACUACUAUCAAUCUCCACCUCCUCCAACACCAGUUGUGAAGCCACCAUACUACUACCAAUCUCCACCUCCUCCAUCACCAAAACCUCAGCCUCCUUACUAUUACCAAUCUCCACCUCCUCCAACACCAGUUGUUAAGCCACCAUACUACUAUAAAUCUCCACCUCCCCCAUCACCCUCUCCUCCACCACCAUACUACUACAAAUCUCCACCACCACCAUCCCCAUCACCGCCACCUCCAUACUACUAUAAAUCUCCACCUCCACCAUCACCGGUUGUUAAGCCACCAUACUACUAUAAAUCCCCACCUCCCCCAUCACCCUCUCCUCCCCCUCCAUACUACUAUAAAUCUCCACCUCCAUACUACUACCACUCUCCACCUCCACCAUCACCAGUUGUUAAGCCACCAUACUACUACAAAUCUCCACCUCCACCAUCACCCUCACCUCCCCCUCCAUACUACUAUAAAUCUCCACCCCCACCUUCACCAUCCCCUCCUCCUCCAUACUAUUAUAAAUCACCACCACCACCAUCCCCAUCACCGCCACCUCCAUACUAUUACAAAUCCCCUCCAC